GAACGCUGGCGGAAUGCUUUACACAUGCAAGUCGAACGGCAGCACGGACUUCGGUCUGGUGGCGAGUGGCGAACGGGUGAGUAAUAUAUCGGAACGUGCCCAGUCGUGGGGGAUAACGUAGUGAAAAUUACGCUAAUACCGCAUACGCCCUGAGGGGGAAAGCGGGGGAUCGAAAGACCUCGCGCGAUUGGAGCGGCCGAUAUCAGAUUAGGUAGUUGGUGGGGUAAAGGCUCACCAAGCCAACGAUCUGUAGCUGGUCUGAGAGGACGACCAGCCACACUGGAACUGAGACACGGUCCAGACUCCUACGGGAGGCAGCAGUGGGGAAUAUUGCACAAUGGGGGAAACCCUGAUGCAGCCAUGCCGCGUGUGUGAAGAAGGCCUUCGGGUUGUAAAGCACUUUCAGCGAGGAGGAAAGGUCAGUAGCUAAUAUCUGCUGGCUGUGACGUUACUCGCAGAAGAAGCACCGACUAACUCCGUG
rnacentral:rRNA from 1 species